GUACGGGAGGCAGCAGUGAGGAAUAUUGCGCAAUGGGGGAAACCCUGACGCAGCGAUGCCGCGUGGGUGAAGAAGGCCUUCGGGUCGUAAAGCCCUGUCAAACGGGAAGAAUAGCUCCGGAGCUAAUAUCUUCGGGGUGUGACGGUACCGUUGAAGGAAGCACCGGCUAACUCCGUGCCAGCAGCCGCGGUAAGACGGAGGGUGCAAGCGUUAUUCGGAUUUAUUGGGCGUAAAGAGCAUGUAGGCGGUCGGUCAAGUCCGAUGUGAAAUCCCGGGGCUUAACCUCGGAAGUGCGUUGGAAACUGGUCGACUUGAGUUCGGGAGAGGAAAGCGGAAUUCCGGGUGUAGAGGUGAAAUUCGUAGAUAUCCGGAGGAACACCGGUGGCGAAGGCGGCUUUCUGGACCGAAACUGACGCUGAGAUGCGAAAGCGUGGGGAGCAAACAGGAUUAGAUACCCGGGUAGUCC
rnacentral:rRNA from 1 species